UUGGCCUUUUGGCCUUUGGCUAAGAUCAAGUAUAGUAUCUAUUCUUAUCAGUUAAUAUCUGAUAUGUCCUCUAUCUGAGCACAAUAUACUAAGUGGAUUUCUGCAGCAGGGAGAUGGAAUAGGGAGCUUGCUCUGUCCACCUGACUCAUCAACCUGGUGUUGCAGUACCUCCAGAAACGGUGCACUCCUC
ensembl:snRNA U2 U2 spliceosomal RNA